rnacentral:rRNA from 1 species
AUUGAACGCUGGCGGCGUGCCUAACACAUGCAAGUAGAACGAGCGGCGAACGGGUGAGUAAUGUCUGGGAAACUGCCUGAUGGAGGGGGAUAACUACUGGAAACGGUAGCUAAUACCGCAUACCAUCAGAUGUGCCCAGAUGGGAUUAGCUAGUUGGUGGGGUAACGGCUCACCUAGGCGACGAUCCCUAGCUGGUCUGAGAGGAUGACCAGCCACACUGGAACUGAGACACGGUCCAGAAGCCUACGGGAGGCAGCAGUGGGGAAUAUUGCACAAUGGGCGCAAGCCUGAUGCAGCCAUGCCGCGUGUGUGAAGAAGGCCUUCGGGUUGUAAAGUACUUUCAGCGGGGAGGCGUUACCCGCAGAAGAAGCACCGGCUAACUCCGUGCCAGCCGCCGCGGUAAUAC